UACGUAGGGUGCGAGCGUUGUCCGGAAUUACUGGGCGUAAAGAGCUCGUAGGUGGUUUGUCGCGUUGUUCGUGAAAACCUGAGGCUUAACCUUGGGCGUGCGGGCGAUACGGGCAGACUGGAGUACUGCAGGGGAGACUGGAAUUCCUGGUGUAGCGGUGAAAUGCGCAGAUAUCAGGAGGAACACCGAUGGCGAAGGCAGGUCUCUGGGCCACUACUGACGCUGAGAAGCGAAAGCAUGGGGAGCGAACAGG
rnacentral:rRNA from 1 species